GUGUCAGGGCAACAGCAGCAGUAAUCACAUACUAGCAGAUGGGAGUGCUCAUGCUUGACUGAACAGCGUAUACUGUCAUCCGGCCUCACUAUUAAGCUACAAAAAACCACAUACCAUAAUCAUAUUGCCAUCAUCAUUAAAAACAGUUGGGCAUUGACCUCAUUUCCUCUCUAAUGGUUUUCCAAUUGUUUUCUGACCAUCUCACUGAUUGUUUGAAUAGAUUAUCAGUCUGUUUUAGGCUCAGAGAGAAGAAAAGGCCAUUGGAGCAUCAAGUGCUUAACCGAGAGCUCCAUAGUGAUUGGUCACGUGAUGAUCAAGUGAUGAGCGAAGAUUUCAUAUCUCAUAUGGGGGUUAUGCAACAGCCAAGCAACUGCCAUUGAGUGGUGUUCAAGCAUGGACGAGAUAAUCAAGGAGGUGCUCUGACGUUGGCUAGCCACGGGUUGGAGAGGUUGUGGAUGAGAAAAUCGUAAGGGAGGACCACCCAUUGGGCUCGGAGGAGAGAGAUUCCCUGCACGCCGCCUCUUUGGAAUAUUAAUGGGCUUCUCCUGGGAAAACUGCCCACAGAAUAGGCCACUCCAUCGCUGUCUCUGUUUCCGCUCAGCUGUCCUGAGGGUACGUGAGGGUGUUCGGUACAAUCCGGUCUGGAGAAACCUCAAGUACACCUCAAACUUUUGUUUUGAUGUUUCAUUAAGAACUCUUGAAGUUGAACAUUUCUUUUUUUCCCCCCAUAAUAUAUUACCGCUUUUAUUACACAAUAAAAAGCACAGGAACGGCUACAUUUAUGAUGUCAAAUUCCUCAGUCUCAACUUUAUAACCGCAAUCAAUAAGAAGACACAUUGAUUGAAAUGAGGGGGCCAUUAGCACGUGAGGGAUUGAGAGAGGUGACAAUGAUGCCGAUCACCACUGGUUUUCAUCACCGGAGCUGCAUAGUUCUUUCCCACUCGAUGGCUGAAGCCCAGACAACUCAUCUGUUUCGGCGUUAUGAGACUGACCGUCCUAAUGGCUUCUACAGAUGGCAGAGCUCGCUGAAGUCAUUGCUCUUUUCUUUCAAUCCCUUUUGCAUUCUUUAUCUGUAUUUGUGUCUCUGUCACUUGCUUUCAGUCAUUGCACCAUUUCCUCUGCCCCAGUCGGGGUCUCUGAGGUGAGCGCUGAGUUUUCGGCAUAUUUAUGUGAAGAAUCUGUUUUUUUACCAGCCUGCCAAGCUGUGAAUGAAAUCAGAUGAAUUU